CCUACGGGAGGCAGCAGUAAGGAAUAUUGUACAAUGGACGCGAGUCUGAUCCAGCCAUGCCGCGUGAAGGAUUAAGGUCCUCUGGAUUGUAAACUUCUUUUAUAAGGGACGAAAAAAGGUUUUUCUAGGNCGUCUGACGGUACCUUAUGAAUAAGCACCGGCUAACUCCGUGCCAGCAGC
rnacentral:rRNA from 1 species